UGGUAACAAAGUAAAGGGAAGAUGGAGUC
rnacentral:piRNA from 1 species